AGAGAAUAAGAAAAUAAAAAGCUACUAACUAUUUUAUAAAGUGGUUAAAUUCCAUUUUUCUCUU
rnacentral:tRNA from 1 species